GACGAACGCCGGCGGCGUGCUUAACACAUGCAAGUCGAGCGGUAAGGCCCUUUCGGGGGUACGACGAGCGGCGAACGGGUGAGUAACACGUGGGUGACCUGCCCUCAGCUCUGGGAUAAGCCUGGGAAACCGGGUCUAAUACUGGAUAUGACUCCAUGACGCAUGUUGUGGGGUGGAAAGCCUUGUGCGGCUGAGGAUGGGCCCGCGGCCUAUCAGCUUGUUGGUGGGGUGAUGGCCUACCAAGGCGACGACGGGUAGCCGGCCUGAGAGGGCGACCGGCCACACUGGGACUGAGACACGGCCCAGACUCCUACGGGAGGCAGCAGUGGGGAAUCUUGCGCAAUGGGCGAAAGCCUGACGCAGCGACGCCGCGUGAGGGAUGACGGCCUGG
rnacentral:rRNA from 1 species